AUCCUUGUAUCGUUCACAAGCAUGAUGAUUGGGUUUUCACGCACACGUAUGAGAUGUGACUCCUCAAACCUUGUUACGAUGUCAGCACAUUCCCUGUCUGACA